rnacentral:rRNA from 1 species
UACGGGGGGGGCAAGCGUUGUUCGGAAUUACUGGGCGUAAAGGGCUCGUAGGCGGCCAACUAAGUCAGACGUGAAAUCCCUCGGCUUAACCGGGGAACUGCGUCCGAUACUGGUUGGCUUGAGUUUGGGAGAGGGAUGCGGAAUUCCAGGUGUAGCGGUGAAAUGCGUAGAUAUCUGGAGGAACACCGGUGGCGAAGGCGGUUCUCUGGGCCUGUACUGACGCUGAGGAACGAAAGCGUGGGGAGCGAACAGG